UAAUACGGAGGGAGCUAGCGUUGUUCGGAAUUACUGGGCGUAAAGCGCGCGUAGGCGGCUUAAUAAGUCAGGGGUGAAAUCCCGGGGCUCAACCUCGGAACUGCCCUUGAAACUGCUAAGCUAGAAUCCUGGAGAGGCGAGUGGAAUUCCGAGUGUAGAGGUGAAAUUCGUAGAUAUUCGGAAGAACACCAGUGGCGAAGGCGACUCGCUGGACAGGUAUUGACGCUGAGGUGCGAAAGCGUGGGGAGCAAACAGG
rnacentral:rRNA from 1 species